rnacentral:misc_RNA from 1 species
GAUAUUUAAUUGGAGAAGAAAACGAGCUGAGAGCAGCACUCCUAUGACACCAGAGUAGUAUGCCAUUGCCAAGGGUAUCACAGUUGUUGGUGGGGCAAAGAAUGUUUCUCUUGCGGUUGAGUUGUUUGCUGAGGCUGGUAGCAAGGGUCUUAAGAGAACUUGUACAUAUAAUGCGCUGAUGGGUGCUUACAUGUACAAUGGCCAUGCUGAUAAUUGUCAGUCGUUGUUUCAUGACUUGAAAAGAAAGUAAAUUUUGGUCCUUCAGUUGUAA